GGUCUCUCUAUGCAAACUGGGCAGGCCUUGAGCUCACUCUGUAGCCCAGGCUGGUCUUGAACUCACAGUGAUCCUCCUGCCUCAGCCUCCCAAGUGCUGGGAUUACAGGCAUGAGCCACCAUGCCC
rnacentral:miRNA from 1 species